rnacentral:rRNA from 1 species
AUUGAACGCUGGCGGCAGGCCUAACACAUGCAAGUCGAGCGGAUGAGAGGAGCUUGCUUCUCGAUUCAGCGGCGGACGGGUGAGUAAUGCCUAGGAAUCUGCCUGGUAGUGGGGGACAACGUUUCGAAAGGAACGCUAAUACCGCAUACGUCCUACGGGAGAAAGCAGGGGACCUUCGGGCCUUGCGCUAUCAGAUGAGCCUAGGUCGGAUUAGCUAGUUGGUGAGGUAAUGGCUCACAAAGGCGACGAUCCGUAACUGGUCUGAGAGGAUGAUCAGGCACACUGGAACUGAGACACGGUCCAGACUCCUACGGGAGGCAGCAGUGGGGAAUAUUGGACAAUGGGCGAAAGCCUGAUCCAGCCAUGCCGCGUGUGUGAAGAAGGUCUUCGGAUUGUAAAGCACUUUAAGUUGGGAGGAAGGGUUGUACGUUAAUACCGUGCAAUUUUGACGUUACCGACAGAAUAAGCACCGGCUAACUCUGUGCCAGCCGCCGCAGUAAUAC